rnacentral:rRNA from 1 species
UGAGCAAUCUGCCCUUCUCAUCGGAAUAAGCGUUGGAAACGACGUCUAAUGCCGAAUACGACCUCCUUUCGCAUGAUCGGAGGUGGAAAGCUCCGGCGGAGAAGGAUGAGCUCGCGGCCUAUCAGCUAGUUGGUGUGGGUAAUGGCCCACAAGGCGACGACGGGUAGCCGGCCUGGAGAGGGUCGACCCGGCCACACGUGGGACUGAGACACCGGCCCAGACCUCCGUACGGGAGCAG